AGAAGAAAAAAAAAAUUCUGAUCCUUCAAAAAGUUUCACAAUUGCAAAGGGAAAGGCGUACUGAUCUUAUUGAGGUAGCAAAACCGCUUAGGAUCUCGAGACCCUGAAGGUGCAUAUUGAUAAUUUGAAUUUACAGAGUGAAAGGUCUAAAGUUUGGUGGAUGCUAGGUUACAAUUGACAUAUAAAAAGAGGUUGAGUGGGCAUAAAAGUGUUAAACAGAAAUUCUUCAUCUAUUGAUGCCGCAAUGAGCCAUUUAACACAGCAAUGACUCUGCACCAGAAAAUGUACACACUCUUGCUAAUCUUCAAAGUACUAAGACUCAAAGUUGUCAAGACCACAAGUUGCAUGUUCUACUACUUGAAGGAAUGAAAAAAAUAGUUUGAGAAUUCCAGCUCUACUUACAAUCAAACGCCAAAAAGAGGAUGAAGUCAUCCCUAUAAGCGAUGAGAAGGUAUUAGAGUCGCUACUAAACUAUAAACAACCAAAGGCUGCGACACUGCACAUUGGAGAAAUUGAGGUCUCCUUUUAUAUACCCGAAGAUCUAGCACUGCAUGAGUUAGAUCUUGAGAAGAUAUUCAUUGAAGGACAUUACCGUAAUCUUGGAAACAAAACCAAAACGAAUAGUACGGGAUGACAGGAUUCAGGGAAAGAGAGGAAGAGAGAAAAAAAAGGAAGGAAGUGCACAGUCCAUGAUCUCCCGGCUUUAAAAGAACUGCCAGACUUCAGAAGAACUGCCCGGCCACGAUCUCCACAUAGACGGUAACUGCCAUAACAACGUAGGGUAUGAAAUCCUA